UGUGUGUGUGUGAAGGCGGCUUUUGAAAUAUUCUCAUGUUAUUAGGGGAAGAGACCAAGGGCAACAAGAUCAGUUACAAGCCACAGCAAUAAUUUGGACAAACUAUAAGCUGACCUGAGGUAAUGGAAAUAAAAAACGGGAAACAAAUACAUGAGAUCUCGAGGGUAUUUCCCAUACCUCUCCCCUUCUCUGUUCUUAGAGAACAGAGAAAUUCCAGAGAAAUUUCCCCAGUGAAAGCUUCCCCACCCUUUCCUGGUUCAGGGCCCGGUGCCUGUGUGCUUCCUGUUCCUUCUGCCUCAAGUGCUCUCCCUCCCAACACACCCCUACCCACCUGGAGAAUACCUAUUCAUUCUUUAAAACAUUUCAUAGAGGCAACUCCUCCAAAAUCUUUCCUCGCUGCAGGCGUGAUGGAGUGACUGAUCCCACCUUUGUACGGCCUCUGUACAUCGCACAUGCUUCUGCGGGACAUCGGUGCCGGUUUGUUUCUGCAUCUGCGUCCUCUAGUAGACAGCGAACUCCUCAGCGGUUGUGACCAGUUUGGUGUUUGUGUUCCUGCGCCUGCGGUAAUGCCUGAUGCGCACUGAGCACGAUGUUGAAUGAACGCGGUGCUGAAUGAAUGGACGGAAGCGCGUGUAAGAUUGCCGCUGUCCAAAGAUCCCCGGCUUUGAGACUUCACUGUGAUGCGGUCACUGUUAGGAGGCAGUUUUUCUGACACUUUCAGUAAUAAAUCUUUUUUGAUAUCAUCUAUAGUAGCUCUGCCUCAUAGCAAGUUCCAGGCUAAAGCAGGUAAGGGGACAACAAACUGCCGUGGAGGCAGACAGACCUGGCUUGAGUCCUGGUUUUGUCACUAUGGGUUUACCUCAAUCUCUCGGAGCCUCCAUUUCCUCAUCUGUAAAAUAGGGGAGAACGUAAGGGCAGAGCCUGGUUGCCUGCCAACUAUUUCACUCCUCUUCCUUGCUGACGGCAACGACGACGACAAAUCCUGAUUUUGUUUAGCGCCUGAUAUGCCCAAUCCCAGCAGAUGCGCUGAACGACCUAAGGUGUCCAUUCCUGCUACCAAUGGUUGGUUUGUAGGGUCCGUAGGAGAGCAAGUGACCUAAUUCUGACUGAUGAGGCCAAACGGGACAUCUGGCAGAAGCUUCCCAGAAAAGAGUUUCCUCUCUGAUAAGUGACACAUGUGAAGAGAAAGCCCAUCUGCCUUUGGCCCUCUUGCUUCCUGAGCCAGAUGCUGUUGUGGAGACAUGAUGUUUGGGGUAAGAGCAGCCAUCUCUUCAAAACAAACGGGACCAUCACUGACACAUUAAAAAUGGCAGAGCUGAAGGACCCGAAGAGUGUAGGUCCUUGGAGCAACACUGAUCUAUUCAACCAAACUUGGUCUACCUAUCUCCAGAUUUCUUGUCAACAGUAAAUGUCUUUUAUUGUUUAA